GACAGAGGGUGCAAACGUUGCUCGGAAUUACGUGGGACGUAAAGCGCGUGUAGGUGGCCACGCAAGUCAGGUGUGAAAGCCCAGGGCUCAACCCUGGAAGUGCACAUGAUACUACGUGGCUGGAGUACUGAAGAGGAGAGCGGAAUUCCCGGUGUAGAGGUGAAAUUCGUAGAUAUCGGGAGGAACACCAGUGGCGAAGGCGGCUCUCUGGGCAGAUACUGACACUGAGACGCGAAAGCGUGGGUAGCAAACAGGG
rnacentral:rRNA from 1 species